CCUACGGGUGGCUGCAGUGGGGAAUAUUGCACAAUGGGCGCAAGCCUGAUGCAGCCAUGCCGCGUGUGUGAAGAAGGCCUUCGGGUUGUAAAGCACUUUCAGCGGGGAAGAAGGCGGUGAGGUUAAUAACCUCAUCGAUUGACGUUACCCGCAGAAGAAGCACCGGCUAACUCCGUGCCAGCAGCCGCGGUAAUACGGAGGGUGCAAGCGUUAAUCGGAAUUACUGGGCGUAAAGCGCACGCAGGCGGUCUGUCAAGUCGGAUGUGAAAUCCCCGGGCUCAACCUGGGAACUGCAUUCGAAACUGGCAGGCUAGAGUCUUGUAGAGGGGGGUAGAAUUCCAGGUGUAGCGGUGAAAUGCGUAGAGAUCUGGAGGAAUACCGGUGGCGAAGGCGGCCCCCUGGACAAAGACUGACGCUCAGGUGCGAAAGCGUGGGGAGCAAACAGGAUUAGAUACCCCAGUAGUC
rnacentral:rRNA from 1 species